UGUAAGCGUAUACCAAAGUUGUUGCAGUUAAAACGCUCGUAGUCGGAAUUUGGCAGUUCCGGAUGUGUGCACGUCGUGUGCGCACUUCGCGGGGAUUGCUUUUGUGGUCUUGCGUAGGAUGAGGCACUUUUAUUAGUGAACGUCCUCACGCAACCACUUUUUACUGUGAGAAAAUCAGAGUGCUCAAAGCAGGCAUUUGCCGUGAAUGUAUUAGCAUGGAAUAAUAGAAUAGGACUUGGUUCUAUUUUGUUGGUUUGUUGGGACUGAGUAAUGAUUAAGGGGGACAGUUGGGGGCAUUUGUAUUUCGGUGCUAGAGGUGAAAUUCUUAGAUUGCCGAAAGACAAACUGCUGCGAAAGCGUCUGCCAAGGAUGUUUUCAUUGA
rnacentral:rRNA from 1 species